rnacentral:lncRNA from 1 species
AUUAAAAAUAAAAAAUAAUUCAAGUUUGACAACAAAACUAUGGGAUGGGAGAAAAUAAAAGAGAAAAUAAGUUGGCUUUCAGUAGUAAAUGAUAUGAUUUAAAAUUAAUUGGCUUUCAAUUUUCCUGUUACCAGCACAAGACCACCACCCAACCCCAGCGGCGUCAACCUCUUAUCCUCCACAACCCAAUCCCAAUUUUCCCGAUUCACAUCGCAUCCAGGUAACCAACCAUUCACCAGUAAAAAAACAUAUAAUCAUACACAAAUAACAAAUCCAACGCAAUUUUCCCGAUUCAAUUUCGACUUUCAUGACCUGAAAAGAUGACACAUUGAAUCCAAAACUUUAAAGAAAAAACAAAGAAAGAGAAGAAACCUAGAGAGAACAAAAUGAACCCAAAUUCCCAAUCCCAUCAAGUGAUGCUGACAUGUCUGUCCCUCAUCAGACGAGGAGAUUGACGAUGUCGUUUGGGGUGAAGAAGGAGGAGAAGGAGGAGGAAGAAGGGUAGUGAGGACAGUGGUCGCUGAGAUUGACGGAGCGAGAGGCGAAGAGCAGGAGGGGUCGGUCGUGGGCCUCUUCUGGGUUCAUUUCGUGGUCGUCGGAGGUGGAGAGGUUGUCACCGCUGGGGUUGGAUGGUGGUCGUGUGCUGGGAUUUUAUUUCUUUACUUCAAUUUCUUUUGUCAAACAUGUAUUUUAAUAUAUUUUAAUUAUUUUUUUUAAGAAAGGGCUAAGAGAGUUAACAGAGUUAAAUUAUUGUUAAGUUAUGUGCCACAUGUCACAAGAAUAAGGAGGAAACAGGACACAGGGAAUUUGGUAACAGGAAAAUUGGACUCAUUUAAAAUACCCUACAGAAAAGAACAUUCAUGGCAAACAAUUGUUUCAAGUUCUUACAAUUCAUUUACCAUAACUCAACGGUGUGGAUAACCCCACUGUAGAAUUUUCGUUGGCGUGAGCUAAAAGCCCCGGAUGAGAGGAGAGAGACGACUCAACACUCAAGACCCAAGACUCAAGAGUUUCUGAACUGAAUUUUAUACUAAAUGGAUGAGAACUUAAUAAUGCACUCUUAUCCUCCACAACCCAAUCCCAAUUUUCCCGAUUCACAUCGCAGGUAACCAACCAUUCACCAGUAAAAAAACAUAUAAUCAUACACAGAUAACAAAUCCAACCCAAUUUUCCCGAUUCAAUUUCGACUUUCAUGACCUGAAAGAUGACACAUUGAAUCCAAAACUUAAAAGAAAAAACAAAGAAAGAGAAGAAACCUAGAGAGAACAAAAUGAACCCAAAUUCCCAAUCCCAUCAAGUGAUGCUGACAUGUCUGUCCCUCAUCAGACGAGGAGAUUGACGAUGUCGUUUGGGGUGAAGAAGGAGGAGAAGGAGGAGGAAGAAGGGUAGUGAGGACAGUGGUCGCUGAGAUUGACGGAGCGAGAGGCGAAGAGCAGGAGGGGUCGGUCGUGGGCCUCUUCUGGGUUCAUUUCGUGGUCGUCGGAGGUGGAGAGGUUGUCACCGCUGGGGUUGGAUGGUG